AUGGCCGUUCGGUGAUAUUCGAUAAAAUUGAAACGAUAUAGAGAAGAUUAGCAUGACCCUUGCGCAAGGAUACGCACAAAAUCAAGAAAUGGUCCAAAUUUUU
rfam:Brassica oleracea var. oleracea cultivar TO1000 chromosome C7, whole genome shotgun sequence